rnacentral:tRNA from 1 species
GGACAAGUUGCCUAUUGGUAAGGGCGAGCUGAUUGCUAUUCGGUGUGCAUAAUUAAGUGCACUGCAGGUUCGACUCCUGUCUUGUCUA